ACUCUUUUAAUAUAAUUAAUAUUCUUAGUUUCGAACUAAGCUUUCCUGUAUAGGGAAGAGUA
rnacentral:tRNA from 1 species